GAUGAACGCUGGCGGCGUGCCUAAUACAUGCAAGUCGAACGCACAGCGAAAGGUGCUUGCACCUUUCAAGUGAGUGGCGAACGGGUGAGUAACACGUGGACAACCUGCCUCAAGGCUGGGGAGUAACAUUUGGAAACAGAUGCUAAUACCGAAUAAAACUUAGUGUCGCAUGACACAAAGUUAAAAGGCGCUUUGGCGUCACCUAAAGAUGGGAUCCGGCGGUGCUA
rnacentral:rRNA from 1 species